AUUUUAGUGUAGGAGCUUUGGGAGGAGGAUUCACCUGGCUGGGCAGGGAAAGCUGGUCAGCUUGGUUAAUUAAAGAGAAAAUCCAGCCUGCAGCACAGUCCAGUGGGGUCUAAAGCACAGAGAACAAGAAGUGCAGCAACCCCAGACAUCAGGAGAUGAAAGUGCAGACCUGUGAAGGAUCCUGAGAGCAGUGCCUGCCUGACAGGCAGCACUGGAGGAUGUUUCAAGUUUGGUUUCAGAGCUGAACACCCUGGUGAGUGCAGGGCUGCGUGUGCCAGCAGAGGAUAAACCACAGCUGGGCCCUGUGGAGAGGAUUUAGCAAUGACAAAAGAAACAAAUUGCUGAGUCUGAUGGUCCUGGGCCAAAGACAAAGUCUGGUAACAAGAAACUAAAACUACUGUUGGGGAAAGCUUUACAAACAGGUUGCAGCUGUAUGCCAGGGCUUUAGGAACCCUUGACUUCCAGCCAGGCAUUUAUAAAGGAAAUUUGCUGCAUUUAGCAACCACUUCAUGGCGAAGAUACAGAUCCACGGGGUGGGGGGGUUUCAAGGUAAAAUCCUAGAAAGGAGAACUGUUCCAUAUAUGCAGAGAAUGCUGGGAGUUAAGGAUGUCUGAAAUUGAGGACAGUGUGUCCUAGCAGAAGAGUUUGCUGAAUGAAUGAUUGGUAAAUCAUUUGCUGAUGGAUGACUGAUAGCUAUGACUUGACAUGUAGGGAUGUGUAGCAAUGUGCCCCCUGUUGAUGAGGAGACUAAAUUAUUUUGUCUGCUUAAAAAGGUAAAAAGCCCAGAAGUUUCUCCCCCAAUUUGAUACAAAGACACCUCAUAGGACCUUUGGGACUUCACCUCAGACCUGGGGCUGCCCAUUGGACAGAGCCCAAGAGGUCUCACCUGGGUAAUUCUAAUUGCUUUGGGGGGGGAGUUUUACCAGGGACAAGAACCUCUUGCCCCUGGCUCAGUUUUUCUCUGUAAGAGUUUUGUUAUUUUGCCUUUUAUUAAACCUUUUUCUGUUUCCAACACUACCACAGAAGCCAUCCUGCUGAUUUUAUGCCAUUUGGGGUAGCUGGACUUUUUCAGGUGUGAUAGGGUCUCUGAGAGCUCAUAAGACCUGGCUUGAGGAGAAACCUAUCAGGGAUGUUAAAAAUAUGAAUGAAUUUUUCGUUUGAGGUGGUUCCUCUGCUCUGUGCAGACAUGACUUGCUGUUUGUGCUGUGUAUUAGAGUCUGUGUGGCUGCAGGAAGGAUCUGAUGGUCAGGUGAACACCUCCCAAGUGAACAGCAGGACAGGGAUAAUGAAGGUUAAAUGCUAUAAAUAAGGUGGC